rnacentral:rRNA from 1 species
CACGGGGGGAGCAAGCGUUGUUCGGAAUCACUGGGCGUAAAGGGCGUGUAGGCGGUCAGGUAAGUGGGAUGUGAAAUGCCUCGGCUCACCCGAGGCACUGCAUUCCAAACUGCUUGGCUUGAGUAUGGGAGAGGAUGAGGGAAUUCCUGGUGUAGCGGUGAAAUGCGUAGAUAUCAGGAGGAACACCGGUGGCGAAGGCGCUCAUCUGGCCCAAUACUGACGCUGAGGCGCGAAAGCCAGGGGAGCAAACGGG